rnacentral:rRNA from 1 species
UCACUUUAUUUAACUAAUAACAUUAAUAUUACAAAACCCUUCACCACUACUGAAUGACUCCAUAACCAUAUGGAGAACACUAUGCUAGAACUAGUAACAAGAAGAAGACCUCCUCCAAAAUGUAAGUGUAAGCCAAAAUGAACAACUCACUGGCACUUAUCGUCUCUGAACUUAAAGUAGUAACUUCACAAGAAAAUUCUACCCCCACAAACGUUAACCUUACACCAGAACAUUACCGGAAAGAUUAAAAAAAGAGGAAGGAACUCGGCAAAUUUUAACCCCGCCUGUUUACCAAAAACAUCGCCUCCUGAAAUAACCAUAGGAGGUCCAGCCUGCCCAGUGACAAAGUUAAACGGCCGCGGUACCCUAACCGUGCGAAGGUAGCGCAAUCACUUGUUCUUUAAAUGAGGACUAGUAUGAAUGGCAUCACGAGGGUUAUACUGUCUCCCUCUUUUAAUCAGUGAAACUGAUCUUCCCGUGAAGAAGCGGGAAUACAUCUAUAAGACGAGAAGACCCCAUGGAGCUUUAAACUCAGUAUCAACUGCCCUCCCAAUAUAUCCACCUAAUUAAGCAGACAUGACUACUAGUUUUCGGUUGGGGUGACCGCGGAGCAAAACAAAACCUCCACGAUGAAAGGAAUUAACCUCCUAAUCAAAGAGCUACAUCUCUAAGAAUCAACAAAUUGACAUUUAUUGAUCCAAUUUUUUGAUCAACGAACCAAGUUACCCUGGGGAUAACAGCGCAAUCCAUUUCAAGAGCCCCUAUCGACAAAUGGGUUUACGACCUCGAUGUUGGAUCAGGGUAUCCCAGUGGUGCAGCCGCUACUAAAGGUUCGUUUGUUCAACGAUUAAAACCCUACGUG